GCAGUCGACGGCAGCACGGGGGCAACCCUGGUGGCGAGUGGCGAACGGGUGAGUAAUACAUCGGAACGUGUCCUGUAGUGGGGGAUAGCCCGGCGAAAGCCGGAUUAAUACCGCAUACGAUCUACGGAAGAAAGCGGGGGAUCGCAAGACCUCGCGCUAUAGGGGCGGCCGAUGGCAGAUUAGCUAGUUGGUGGGGUAAAGGCCUACCAAGGCGACGAUCUGUAGCUGGUCUGAGAGGACGACCAGCCACACUGGGACUGAGACACGGCCCAGACUCCUACGGGAGGCAGCAGUGGGGAAUUUUGGACAAUGGGGGAAACCCUGAUCCAGCAAUGCCGCGUGUGUGAAGAAGGCCUUCGGGUUGUAAAGCACUUUUGUCCGGAAAGAAAACUUCUGCCCUAAUACGGUGGGAGGAUGACGGUACCGGAAGAAUAAGCACCGGCUAACUACGUGCCAGCAGCCGCGGUAAUACGUAGGGUGCGAGCGUUAAUCGGAAUUACUGGGCGUAAAGCGUGCGCAGGCGGUUCGUUAAGACAGAUGUGAAAUCCCCGGGCUUAACCUGGGAACUGCAUUUGUGACUGGCGAGCUAGAGUAUGGCAGAGGGGGGUAGAAUUCCACGUGUAGCAGUGAAAUGCGUAGAGAUGUGGAGGAAUACCGAUGGCGAAGGCAGCCCCCUGGGCCAAUACUGACGCUCAUGCACGAAAGCGUGGGGAGCAANCAGGAUUAGAUACCCUGGUAGUCCACGCCCUAANCGAUGUCAACUAGUUGUUGGGGAUUCAUUUCCUUAGUAACGUAGCUAACGCGUGAAGUUGACCGCCUGGGGAGUACGGUCGCAAGAUUAAAACUCAANGGAAUUGACGGGGACCCGCACAAGCGGUGGAUGAUGUGGAUUAAUUCGAUGCAACGCGAAAAACCUUACCUACCCUUGACAUGGUCGGAACCCUGCUGAAAGGUGGGGGUGCUCGAAAGAGAACCGAUACACAGGUGCUGCAUGGCUGUCGUCAGCUCGUGUCGUGAGAUGUUGGGUUAAGUCCCGCAACGAGCGCAACCCUUGUCCUUAGUUGCUACGCAAGAGCACUCUAAGGNNACUGCCGGUGACAAACCGGAAGAAAGGGGGG
rnacentral:rRNA from 1 species